rnacentral:rRNA from 1 species
UACGAAGGGUGCUAGCGUUGUUCGGAUUUACUGGGCGUAAAGCGCACGUAGGCGGGUCGUUAAGUCAGGGGUGAAAUCCCGGAGCUCAACUUCGGAACUGCCUUUGAUACUGGCGACCUUGAGGCUGGAAGAGGUUAGUGGAAUUCCCAGUGUAGAGGUGAAAUUCGUAGAUAUUGGGAAGAACACCAGUGGCGAAGGCGGCUAACUGGUCCAGAUCUGACGCUGAGGUGCGAAAGCGUGGGGAGCAAACAGG